GAUGAACGCUGGCGGCGUGCUUAACACAUGCAAGUCGAACGGAAAGGCCCAAGCUUGCUUGGGUACUCGAGUGGCGAACGGGUGAGUAACACGUGGGUGAUCUGCCCUGCACUUCGGGAUAAGCCUGGGAAACUGGGUCUAAUACCGGAUAAGACCACAUUUUGGAUGGUGUGGUGGAAAGUUUUUCGGUGUGGGAUGAGCUCGCGGCCUAUCAGCUUGUUGGUGGGGUAAUGGCCUACCAAGGCGUCGACGGGUAGCCGGCCUGAGAGGGUGUACGGCCACAUUGGGACUGAGAUACGGCCCAGACUCCUACGUGAGGCAGCAGUGGCAAAUAUUGCACAAUGGGCGCAAGCCUGAUGCAGCGACUCCGCGUGGGGGAUGACGGCCUUCGGGUUGUAAACUCCUUUCGCUAGGGACGAAGCGUUAUGUGACGGUACCUGGAGAAGAAGCACCGGCUAACUACGUG
rnacentral:rRNA from 1 species